rnacentral:lncRNA from 1 species
AACACCAUAUUCUGCACCAAAGGAUUCAUUACCUUUAGACUAGGUUCUUUGACUCACACAGUUAUAGUUACAAAUCAAAGUUGCCUUUCAGAAAUGAAGUACUUUUUGGACUUAGGAAAUUUAAGACAAACUAUGUUGGUAUCACUAAGGGCAUGUUUGGAUGUAUAUGUACCCUUGGUGUCACGAAAUCGGGCUGACACCGUGAUUUUGUUGAACUUUUUUUUUUUUUUUGACUAAAUGAUUUUGUUGAACUUCUGAAGUGUAGUUUUUGACAAAAUUAUAGUAGUACACCGUGAUUCUGUCAAACUCGUGAUCAUUCUAAACAUGCACUAAAUAUCAUAUUUAUUUUAAGGAAAAUGCUAACCAGGGGCACUAGUUAAGGAAACAAAUUUAGUAAAACAGUCAUCACACUUGUGUAGUCCAUCUUUUCAAAAUAUUGAGAAUGCUUCAAUACAAAAUUUACUAUUUUUAGUUUCCUUAACUUGUGUCUUAGGGAGACUAGGGUCGAAGUGGAUACCGUGACACAUCUAAGACUACAUAAUCAAAGAGAUACUAUAACCUAUCUAGAUG